rnacentral:rRNA from 1 species
UACGUAGGUCCCGAGCGUUGUCCGGAUUUAUUGGGCGUAAAGCGAGCGCAGGUGGUUUAUUAAGUCUGGUGUAAAAGGCAGUAGCUCAACCAUUGUAUGCAUUGGAAACUGGUAGACUUGAGUGCAGGAGAGGAGAGUGGAAUUCCAUGUGUAGCGGUGAAAUGCGUAGAUAUAUGGAGGAACACCGGUGGCAAAAGCGGCUCUCUGGCCUGUAACUGACACUGAGGCUCGAAAACGUGGGGAGCAAACAGG